rnacentral:rRNA from 1 species
GGAGGGAGCUAGCGUUGUUCGGAAUUACUGGGCGUAAAGCGCGCGUAGGCGGCUUUGUAAGUUAGAGGUGAAAGCCCGGAGCUCAACUCCGGAACUGCCUUUAAGACUGCAUCGCUUGAAUCCAGGAGAGGUGAGUGGAAUUCCGAGUGUAGAGGUGAAAUUCGUAGAUAUUCGGAAGAACACCAGUGGCGAAGGCGGCUCACUGGACUGGUAUUGACGCUGAGGUGCGAGAGCGUGGGGAGCAAACAGGAUUAGAUACCCUGGUAGUCCACGCCGUAAACGAUGAUAACUAGCUGUCAGGGGCCAUGGGCUUUUGGUGGCGCAGCUAACGCAUUAAGUUAUCCGCCUGGGGAGUACGGCCGCAAGGUUA